rnacentral:tRNA from 1 species
ACAUUGUGGCUGGCUCAGUUGGUAGAGCAUGAGACUCUUCAUCUCAGGGUCAUGGGUUUGAGCCCCACAUAGGGCA